AUUGAACGCUGGCGGCAGGCCUAACACAUGCAAGUCGAGCGGAUGAAGGGAGCUUGCUCCUGGAUUCAGCGGCGGACGGGUGAGUAAUGCCUAGGAAUUUGCCUGGUAGUGGGGGAUAACGUCCGGAAACGGGCGCUAAUACCGCAUACGUCCUGAGGGAGAAAGUGGGGGAUCUUCGGACCUCACGCUAUCAGAUGAGCCUAGGUCGGAUUAGCUAGUUGGUGGGGUAAAGGCCUACCAAGGCGACGAUCCGUAACUGGUCUGAGAGGAUGAUCAGUCACACUGGAACUGAGACACGGUCCAGACUCCUACGGGAGGCAGCAGUGGGGAAUAUUGGACAAUGGGCGAAAGCCUGAUCCAGCCAUGCCGCGUGUGUGAAGAAGGUCUUCGGAUUGUAAAGCACUUUAAGUUGGGAGGAAGGGCAGUAAGUUAAUACCUUGCUGUUUUGACGUUACCAACAGAAUAAGCACCGGCUAACUUCGU
rnacentral:rRNA from 1 species